GCCUAAAGCGUCCGUAGCCUGUUCUAUAAGUUUCCGGUUAAAUCCAUUAGCUCAACUAAUGGGCCGCCGAAAAUACUGUGGAACUAGGGAGUGGGAGAGGUAGACGGUAUUCGGUAGGAAGGGGUAAAAUCCUUUGAUCUAUCGAGGACCACCUGUGGCGAAGGCGGUCUACCAGAACACGUUCGACGGUGAGGGAUGAAAGCUGGGGGAGCAAACCGGAUUAGAUACCCGGGUAGUCCCAGCUGUAAACGAUGCAGACUCGGUGAUGCGCUGGCUUGUGGCCAGUGCAGUGCCGCAGGGAAGCCGUUAAGUUUGCCGCCUGGGAAGUACGUACGCAAGUAUGAAACUUAAAGGAAUUGGCGGGGGAGCACCACAAGGGGUGAAGCCUGCGGUUCAAUUGGAGUCAACGCCAGAAAUCUUACCCGAAGAGACAGCAGAAUGAAGGUCAAGCUGGAGACUUUACCAGACAAGCUGAGAAGUGGUGCAUGGCCGUCGCCAGCUCGUGCCGUGAGAUGUCCUGUUAAGUCAGGUAACGAGCGAGAUCCCUGCCUCUAGUUGCCACCAUUACUCUCAGGAGUAGUGGGGCGAAUUAGCGGGACCGCCGCAGUUAAUGCGGAGGAAGGAAGGGGCCACGGCAGGUCAGUAUGCCCCGAA
rnacentral:rRNA from 1 species